CGCGUAGGCGGUCUCUUAAGUCAGAUGUGAAAGCCCGGGUCUUAACCUCGGAAGUGCAUUUGAAACUAAGGGACUUGAGUAUGGGAGAGGGAAGUGGAAUUCCUGGUGUAGCGGUGAAAUGCGUAGAUAUCAGGAGGAACACCGGUGGCGAAGGCGACUUCCUGGACCAAUACUGACGCUGAGGCGCGAAGGCGUGGGGAGCAAACAGGAUUAGAUACCCUGGUAGUCC
rnacentral:rRNA from 1 species